UCCUGGCUCAGGAUGAACGCUGGCGGCGUGCCUAACACAUGCAAGUCGAGCGGAGAUAGUUGAAGCCUAGCGAUGACUAUCUUAGCGGCGGAUGGGUGAGUAACACGUGGGUAACCUGCCCUGUAUUGGGGAAUAACAGCUGGAAACGGCUGUUAAUGCCGCAUAUGCGCACGGAGCCGCAUGGCCCUGGGCGGAAAGAUUUAUCGGUACAGGAUGGGCCCGCGUCGGAUUAACUAGUUGGCGGGGUAACGGCCCACCCAAGGUGAUGAUCCGUAGCCGACCUGAGAGGGUGACCGGCCACAUUGGGACUGAGACACGGCCCAAACUCCUACGGGAGGCAGCAGUGGGGGAUAUUGCACAAUGGGGGAAACCCUGAAUGCAGCGACGCCGCGUGAAGGAUGACGUAUUUCGGUAUGUAAACUUCUAUCAGCGGGGAAGAAGAUGACGGUACCCGACUAAGAAGCCCCGGCUAACUACGUGCCAGCAGCGGC
rnacentral:rRNA from 1 species